rnacentral:rRNA from 1 species
AGAGUUUGAUCAUGGCUCAGAGCGAACGCUGGCGGCAGGCCUAACACAUGCAAGUCGAGCGGCCGUAGCAAUACGGCAGCGGCAGACGGGAGAGUAACACGUGGGAACGCGCCCUUCGGUUCGGGAUAACUCAGGGAAACUUGGGCUAAUACCGGAUACGCCCUUACGGGGAAAGAUUUAUUGCCGAAGGAACGGCCCGCGUCCGAUUAGCUUGUUGGUGAGGUAACGGCUCACCAAGGCGACGAUCGGUAGCUGGUCUGAGAGGAUGACCAGCCUCACUGGGACUGAGACACGGCCCAGACUCCUACGGGAGGCAGCAGUGGGGAAUAUUGGACAAUGGGCGCAAGCCUGAUCCAGCCAUGCCGCGUGGGUGAUGAAGGCCCUAGGGUUGUAAAGCCCUUUCAGCGGGGAAGAUAAUGACGGUACCCGCAGAAGAAGCCCCGGCUAACUUCGUGCCAGCAGCCGCGGUAAUACGAAGGGGGCUAGCGUUGCUCGGAAUUACUGGGCGUAAAGCGCACGUAGGCGGAUUGUUAAGUCGGGGGUGAAAUCCUGGAGCUCAACUCCAGAACUGCCUUCGAUACUGGCGAUCUCGAGUCCGGGAGAGGUGAGUGGAACUGCGAGUGUAGAGGUGAAAUUCGUAGAUAUUCGCAAGAACACCAGUGGCGAAGGCGGCUCACUGGCCCGGUACUGACGCUGAGGUGCGAAAUCGUGGGGAGCAAACAGGAUUAGAUACCCUGGUAGUCCACGCUGUAAACGAUGGAUGCUAGCCGUUGGCGAGCUUGCUCGUCAGUGGCGCAGCUAACGCUUUAAGCAUCCCGCCUGGGGAGUACGGUCGCAAGAUUAAAACUCAAAGGAAUUGACGGGGCCCGCACAAGCGGUGGAGCAUGUGGUUCAAUUCGAAGCAACGCGCAGAACCUUACCAGCCCUUGACAUCCCGGUCGCGGGAGACCAGAGACGGUUUCCUUCAGUUCGGCUGGACCGGAGACAGGUG